rnacentral:rRNA from 1 species
AUUGAACGCUGGCGGCAUGCUUUACACAUGCAAGUCGGACGAGUGGCGAACGGGUGAGUAACGCCUCGGAACGUACCGAGUAAUGGGGGAUAACUGUCCGAAACGACAGCUAAUACCGCAUACCAUCCGAUCGGCCGAUGUCUGAUUAGCUGGUUGGUGGGGUAACGGCCCACCAAGGCGACGAUCCGUAGCGGGUCUGAGAGGAUGACCAGCCACACUGGAACUGAGACACGGCCCAGACUCCGACGGGAGGCAGCAGUGGGGAAUUUUGGACAAUGGGCGCAAGCCUGAUGCAGCCAUGCCGCGUGUCUGAAGAAGGCCUUCGGGUUGUAAAGGACUUUUGGCAGGGAAGCGGUACCUGAAGAAGAAGCACCGGCUAACUACGUGCCAGCAGCCGCGGUAAUAC